GAUGAACGCUGGCGGCGUGCCUACUACAUGCAAGUCGAGCGAACAGAUGAGGAGCUUGCUCCUCUGACGUUAGCGGCGGACGGGUGAGUAACACGUGGAUAACCUACCUAUAAGACUGGGAUAACUUCGGGAAACCGGAGCUAAUACCGGAUAAUAUAUUGAACCGCAUGGUUCAAUAGUGAAAGACGGUUUUGCUGUCACUUAUAGAUGGAUCCGCGCCGCAUUAGCUAGUUGGUAAGGUAACGGCUUACCAAGGCAACGAUGCGUAGCCGACCUGAGAGGGUGAUCGGCCACACUGGAACUGAGACACGGUCCAGACUCCUACGGGAGGCAGCAGUAGGGAAUCUUCCGCAAUGGGCGAAAGCCUGACGGAGCAACGCCGCGUGAGUGAUGAAGGUCUUCGGAUCGUAAAACUCUGUUAUUAGGGAAGAACAAAUGUGUAAGUAACUAUGCACGUCUUGACGGUACCUAAUCAGAAAGCCACGGCUAACUACGUG
rnacentral:rRNA from 1 species